rnacentral:rRNA from 1 species
CAGCAGCCGCGGUAAUACGUAGGUGGCAAGCGUUGUCCGGAAUUAUUGGGCGUAAAGGGCUCGCAGGCGGUUUCUUAAGUCUGAUGUGAAAGCCCCCGGCUCAACCGGGGAGGGUCGUUGGAAACAGGGAAACUUGAGUGCAGAAGAGGAGAGUGGAAUUCCACGUGUAGCGGUGAAAUGCGUAGAGAUGUGGAGGAACACCAGUGGCGAAGGCGACUCUCUGGUCUGUACCUGACGCUGAGGAGCGAAAGCGUGGGGAGCGAACAGGAUUAGAUACCCGAGUAGUCCCUGUCUCUUAUAC